GACGAACGCUGGCGGCGUGCUUAACACAUGCAAGUCGAACGGAAAGGCCCUGCUUUUGUGGGGUGCUCGAGUGGCGAACGGGUGAGUAACACGUGAGUAACCUGCCCUUGACUUUGGGAUAACUUCAGGAAACUGGGGCUAAUACCGGAUAGGAGCUCCUGCUGCAUGGUGGGGGUUGGAAAGUUUCGGCGGUUGGGGAUGGACUCGCGGCUUAUCAGCUUGUUGGUGGGGUAGUGGCUUACCAAGGCUUUGACGGGUAGCCGGCCUGAGAGGGUGACCGGCCACAUUGGGACUGAGAUACGGCCCAGACUCAUACGGGAGGCAGCAGUGGGGAAUAUUGCACCAUGGGCGGAAGCCUGAUGAAGCAACGCCGCGUGCGGGAUGACGGCCUUCGGGUUGUAAACCGCUUUCGCCUGUGACGAAGCGUGAGUGACGGUAAUGGGUAAAGAAGCACCGGCUAACUACGUG
rnacentral:rRNA from 1 species